AUGAUAGGGGUGGGGGUAGUAGCCUGCGCCUGUGGCUCCAUGGGGGUUCCACUGCCACUGCCAUUCCCCGGUCGUUGGCUGCGGCCUGCGGAUGGAGAUGGUGAUCACCUGCCCGCCGCUGAUCCGGCUCCCUGUCUAGACGGCGGUGCUGUGGUCGGACAUCACCACCACCUUGCGGACAUGGCCGACCCGAGUGCGGAGGCGGUCGAGGUUGACGCGCUGGGGGGCCGUCGUCAUCCCCCGCGCAAGAGGGUUCAUCAGCGAGCACGAGAACCCUUUGGCGUUGUGCACGAGGAAGAGCGUGCUGCCGGUGGAGACGCGGUGCGCGAGAUUUUCGUCCAGGGCGAGGCCGCGGCGGUGGACCUCGCCGUCGGAGAGGCUGAGGAAGGAGCCGUCGCGGAGGGCGAGCCACGGGAGCAGCGGCGGCUGCAGGCGCGCGCCGGAGCGCCACUGGCGGCAGACGGCGCCGAGGCGGACGCGGUCGGCGUGGGACAGCACGCGCUGGAGCACGAGGCCCAGCAGCUCCGACGGGAGGUCCUGCCAUGGAGGACGGCGUCCGCCGAGAUUCGUCGCCGCAACUCCCUCCAUCGUAGAUCUGAUCGUCAAGCAAAGCUAUUGGCUAUGAUGCCCAAAAUUUGCAUCUCCGGCCGUUUCACGGUUCAGGCCCAGCUUGCAGAACACGGCAUUCUAGUCAACCUGUGUGUCCAACUUAUAUCUGUCUACUUUAUCUUAAAAAAAACUUAUCUGCCUACCAGGUUAAAAACCACUCAAAAAAAGUCUACUAGGUAA
rnacentral:rRNA from 1 species